CCAUCCAUUCGUUCUCUAUCCCUCCUCACGAGCUGGCCCUUCCACUCCCUAUCCAAGGCUCUCUCACUCCACGAGCUCUCUUCCCAGCUGCUCCUUGUGCCGUGCUCCCUCUCCACGAGCUCUCUCUUCCUUGCUGCUCCCUCUUCUCGGCGAGCUUUUUGUCCCCUGCUCUUCUCCUCCCUCGAUGUGGCGCAAGUUCUUCUCCAUUCAUGGAAUGGAGCCGGGACGGCCUGGAGGCGGCGCGUGCCACGAGCGCGGCCUUGCGCGCGUCAUCACAGGAGUGGGGACGUCACGCGCAGCGGAGCAGGGCCCGUGCCCGUCGUCAGCAUGGUGCAUGGGGCGGGGUGGCGCGCCGGAAGACGGUGUGCAUCGCGCGGUGCGGCUGCUAGAGGAAACAAACAUACGUGAAGCUCACGGCUGCGGCGGGAAUUUGGACUUGGACAAAUCUAUUUGUCGCGCGCGUUAGUAAGAUGCAAUCCAUCGCAUAAGACGAGGCGCUCAAGCCGAAUCUUAGCUUGCCCGCGGCCCAUAAAGAUGUAAGGUGAGCAAUUUUUUUUCAUUAGUCAUUUUCCUCUUUGUUUUCAUUGGCUGGAAGCCCACCACUGCUAUGGCAUCCGUUAUCCAAUAAAAGUUAGGUAAGGUGCUGAUGCAGUGGAUUCAAUGCGCGAAACGUAAGAAAAUAUACACUUUACAAAGUGAUUAACAAAAAAAAAUUGAGCACGUCAUUGUGCUUCUUUCAAUUAAAUCUUUAAGAGUUAGAGCACGUUAAACUAUGUUUGAAAUGAUACUUUUUGAAAUAUUUUAAUUGUUCUAUAACUUUUGUUCUCGACAAAUUCUUUUCUCAAAAUAUUUUUUCUCGUUCUUAGAAUAAUUUGUUUUGAUGUCACAUCUUUUUGUUCUCUAUUUUUUUCAUGGAAUAUUUUUAUUUCUUCUCUAUUUUUUACAGAGCAUUUUUAUUUAUUUUAGACAAUUUCUAUUUUUUUAAAGGUGAAACUAAUGAGUUGACAUAGUUGAUACGUAGAUUGCAUGUGCAGUGCGUAGGUCACAUUUUAUUCUCGACACAGGACGAUGGCCAAUCGCAUGCAGAGCUUUCCUUUUCAUUUAUGGAGUGAAAUGCAUAUCUGUUUGGCUAAACUACUGCAACUAAUAAUGUAAAGAAAAACAAUAGAAAAAGUGGAAGAUUCAUAGAAGGGAGAGUAAGCUCAAGUACUCCAUAUUGAUUGCCGGAUAAAGGAGCACCUCGCCCCCUCCAAAUUCUAUGCAUGGAUGAGAGUUACAAUUUCCAAAGAUAGAAGAAGAACUGAAGAAGCGCAUCUGUGCUCCUUUGGACUAAACUGACUGAAAGGAUAGGUUGUAAAAAGUGAAAAAGUACUUGAGCCAUUGAACCCGUCCCACCAUGUACUUAAGCCCCAUCUAAUAAGCCAUAUCUUAAAUUCCGAAUCUUUUAGUCUAGCAUUACAUUAAUUAAAAUUGUGUGUGAGCAGGUGUUGAGGCAAGGCUACUAGUGUUACUGUUAUCACUGUAUCACUAGCCAUCCCAUUGGGUUGAAUGCUAGCUCCGCCAUUGGUUGGUGAUCCCUAUGGCUGUCUUCUAGUUGAAGUAUAGUACACUAGUAACACUAGUGUACCUUAAAAUUCGUCCAUAUCAUACCGGAGAUGGCAAAAAGAUUACUUCUCAAUCAAUCUAUCUUAUACUUAUAUACUUAUAUAGUAUAUUGUUAAAAGCAUCUUAGGUUACACAAUCUCUCUUAUUAAUAAAGUGAGUUGUGCAUUUUUCUCUACGAGUUAGCUCAUGAAGAAGAGAAGAUAGUACGUAUUUCUUCUUCAGAUUUCUUUUUUCCAUAUAUAAGCAAAAUGAUAAGUUUGGGUUUCUACGAGACCCUUGAGGUGUACUCCCUCCGAAUUUGAUAAGAAGGGUGUUUUGAGUUUGUCUUAUGUCAAAUAUUUUAAACUUUAAGUAUAAAUAAUUUUUUAAGUUGAGUUUAAAAUGUGAAAAUAAUGUAAAUAGAUUCAUCUUGAAAUAUAGUUUUAACAAAAUAUAUGUUGACUAUAUAUAUAUUUAUAAUUUUUAUAGUAAAUUAAUAGUAGUUAAAGUUAUGUUUGAGAUCAUGUCGAUCUCCGAAACAAUUUCCUUUACCCUCUCGUUCUAGAGUUGUCUGCCUAGUCAGCAUCGUUAUCGGCUGACCUUACUUGACAGUUGACUCCAUCGUUUUCUGUACUCGCACACAACCCCCCCAUGGCUCAGGCACGCGUGCGCCUCCCUCCCGCCGGCCCAACGCCGGCCACCGCCUUCUUCUCGGGCUCCAAUCCCAGACCCGACCACCUGCCGUACUCCUCGAAGCGCGCCCCCGCCUCCCUCUGCGCCGCCACCGCCGCCGCCAAUGCGCCGCCGGCCCCCAUCGUCGUCGUCGGCUCCGCCAACGCCGACAUCUACGUCGAGGUCGACCGCCUCCCGCUCGCCGGCGAGACCGUGGCGGCUCGCGCAGGGCGCAGCCUCGCGGGCGGGAAGGGCGCCAACCAGGCGGCCUGCGGCGGGCGGCUCGCGCUGGGCCCCAUCUACCUGGUGGCGCGCGUGGGGGACGACGCCAACGGGCGGCUUCUCGAGGGCGCACUGGCCGACGCCGGCGGCGUCCGCACCGACCGCGUCGCGCGCGCGCCCGACGCGCCCUCGGGGCACGCCGUCGUCAUGCUCAUGCCCGACGGUCAGAACUCCAUCAUCAUCGUCGGCGGAGCCAACAUGCAGGGCUGGGCCGCUGGGAUCGGCGCGGAGGACCUGGAAUUGAUCCAAAAGGCAGGGGUACUGCUGCUGCAGAGGGAGAUACCCGAUUGGGUCAACACGCAGGCUGCCCAGGCUGCAAAAAGUGCAGGCGUGCCUGUUAUCAUGGACGCUGGUGGAAUGGAUGCUCCUGUACCUCGAGAUCUACUCAGUCUAGUGGAUAUUUUUAGUCCAAAUGAAACAGAGCUAGCACGGUUGACUGGGAUGCCUACUGAGACAUUUGAGCAGAUCAGCCAGGCUGCAGGAGAAUGCCAUAAAAUGGGUGUGAAAGAAGUACUAGUUAAGCUUGGAUCGCGGGGAUCUGCUUUGUUUGUUGAGGGAGAGAAGCCAAUCAGACAGCCGAUUAUUCCUGCCACAGAAGUUAUUGAUACCACGGGGGCUGGUGACACUUUCACCUCAGCUUUUGCUGUAGCCCUGGUUGAGGGAAAGCCUAAGAAGGAGUGCAUGAGAUUUGCUGCUGCUGCUGCCUCAUUGUGUGUUCGAGUGAAGGGUGCUAUACCCAGCAUGCCCGACAGAGAAUCAGUGAUGAAGCUUCUGGGAUCUGUGCAAGUCGAGUAGCUGCAGAAUGCAUCGAUCGUUCAAAGUCGACCUCAUCCAUCGGGAAUAAUAGUGAUUUGCCUGUGUAGCUGUCAUAUGCCCUUCAACUUCACCAGAGUGCAACUUCUGUGCUUCAUCUCAGUUAGACUGGGCCCAACAGCUAUGUUGCCAUGCUGAAUUGAGAUAUCUUUGAAGCUGGGCAUUAUAUCAUCUUGAAGCUUGUCAGGCCCUAUUUCUUCAGGCAUCGCUUCAUCUUGAGGUUGUCUAUUUACCGUCUUCGGGGCUCCACAACUGUUUAACUUCCUCGAUGAUGUUUGUGACUCCAUAGUGGGGUACAUCCUGGGGACCAUGGAAGCCGCACCUUUCAAGAACCACCUAUUCCCAAUCUGGGGGCUUUUUCUGGUCAGUUUUCGCUCUGGUGUCAGCUGGCUCUCCAGAUAUGAUACAUAUGUUGAGUGGAGAAAUGUCCUCAAGCUUUCGGCCAUCGCAUACAUGUAUUUAAGGCAUGGGUCCAAGGUCGGGAGCAUCCCAUUCUGGAUUUUAUGGGGUCUCAUUGUCCUGAAGAGCCUCUAUACAAUUUUGAGUGGUUAUCUGGUAUCCAAAUCCUUAUGGCGUGGCCAGAGUUCAAAACUUCUUCAGGAGUACAUGGAUGGCUUUACACCUGAUAGGUGUAACCCUAAAACAAUGGAAGGGUACACAUACUUGGUAUACGGGGAGUCAACAAAAAACAUAAAGAUCGGGGACAGUGCAAUAAUUAUUGACCACUCAAGCAGAUCACUAGUUACCUUAGAUAGGAUUUGGAGGUGUGGUGACCCACUGCUACGCCGCCCCGUCAACAGAUGGGGGAACAACGCAAAGGAUAUGUGCUUGGCCUUUGCAUUGUCUCGGCUACUUCGAUGUAGGAUGGAAGGAGCAACACUGCAUGAGGGGGCUGUUUCCACAACCCGAAAGCUUAUAUGCUGACAGAUUCUCACUGAUA